UAAGGAAGCACAUGGUGCAAUCUAGAAGUGACUGAACUUAAUUUUGUGCUUAUGGCCAUUAACAUGCCUCACACUGCUUCUUAGUAAAUCACCCAAAAAACUGUCAUCACCCAACACACAAAAGUUUGGAUUGCCAACGCAAUUUAGCAUUCAUUAUCUGGGAUCUUCAUAAAUCAGACCAUGAUUGUCUAAAAGUUUUGCACAGUACUAUACAUACAGCCAAACCAGUAAAUGGAUAAUUAAAGGCCUUGAUCCAAAAUACAAUAUUAAAGCUGCAACCUGGAAGUAGAAUAUAUAAAAAAAAUGUAAGGGAGUGAGUCUUAGAUAUUGCAUUAAAAUUAUUUGGUGAUCAAUUUUCUAGCACACAGUGGAAAA